GAGAAGCUGGCAGCCAACGAUGGCAGUGUGGUGACUUGGCCAGUAUCUGAACCGAGAUGGACCUCCUGGGAGGCACAGCAAAGGCUGUCAAACUUACAGAUCAGUGUUUCGAUAGAAGGGUGUCAGCACAGCAGUGUGAAGUGUGGAUGUAGGCAGAAAAGCCAAGGCUAAAAAGGCAGACUGACCCUGAAGUUCCUUACGAAGGUCAUUUUGCUGCUUCCAGCAGUCUGCUGCUCUCAUAAAAUGCAAAGUGUGUCUGUGCCUUGAGCUUCCUUUUGGACAAGUUCAUCUUAACUCCAGCUUGAUCAAGAAUCCUGCAAAGUCUUUUUUACUCAGUAUCUUACUUUCAGAAACCACUUAUACAUUCUUCAGGAGAACAUCUGAGUGAGUAUGAAUCAUAGAAUGGCCUGGGUUGAAAAGGACCACAAUGAUCAUCGAGUUUGAACCCCCCUGCUAUGUGCAGGGCCGCCAACCACCAGACCAGGCUGCUCAGAAUGUAUGUAUUGGCAAAGGACCAGAGGUGAUGUCAGUUCUGCUACUAGCGCAGCUGUUGGUGGCACAGGAUGCAAUGAAUGUGAAUUGCGUGAAGAUUCACUCAGCUUCUUGGAGGGUUUAUGAAGCUACAACUGAAAGCUGUGCUCAAAUAUUGUUUGAACCUCGCUUUUUUCUCCACAAGAUGCUGCAGUAUUCUACUACAAUGCUCAGAAUAAUGUUAUUCAUUUUCAUUAUCUUACUAGAACCUCGCAUUCCACUUAUUUCAUACAUGAUAGCUGUGACUGCACAAGAAGACAUUCACAUUGACUCAUUCAUAACAAUAUCUAAAGGGCUACACUUAAUUAGUAUCCAUUAGGUAAGGGAAUUUUAAGCUGUGCUUUCUAAUAUACCCUCCUGUGGAUUUGCAGAAAUGAAAUUUCCUACAUUACUGGGUUGCCCAACUGCCGGAAUCUUUGAAAGCUUCUAAGCAUCUUCGUUCAUCAAAAUGAUUGUAGAUAACUCAAUAAACUGGCACCUCCUAAUUCAAUAGUUCUUCCACAUAUUUCAGAGUAAUUCUGAUUCCACACUUUUUUUUCCUGUGAUAAAUAUUACAAUUAUCUUAGUAAGACUAUUCCUGUCUCUCCCAUCAAGAAAGGCAUUUAUUUUGGAAGGGUGCUGAUAUACAAAAGGGGUCAAUGAAAUCAAGGCUUAACAUACUGCAGAGCUUUGAGUCUUCCAGUUAGUACCCUUUCAUAGCGGAAGAAAAAUCAGUUUGUUUUAACUUUUUUCCUCUUUUAAAAUUUCUAAUCUAAUUUCAAAACUUCAUAAUUGCUUGAAAGUGAAACCCUAGGGCUGAGGUUCUGUUGCUAUAUCUGUACCACAAACAGCACUGACAAAAGUAUUAAUAGUCAAGAUGAAAACAUGAUAAACUGCCUAUGUAAUACACAGAAACCUCCUUGGAUGCUUGACUGAAAAAGAAAUGUUGCACUUGAUGCACACAUACCUUUGUAUCCCAGAAUGGCUAUGGUAAUUGUUAACAGGACACACAGAAUGUAUAGUAAGAUGAUAGAAAACUUCAGUGCCCAGUUAUUUUUACACUUGGUACAUUGAGUCCCCUCCUGAAUACCUGCAAAAGAAAAGAUGAAGAAUUUUAAAACAAGAGCAAAAGACAGAUUGCUGGUUUCAUCUCCAUAUUUUCUUUCCUUCACGUUCUAACAAACAAAAUAUUUAUGUAAUCAGAUGAGGAAUGGGCGCCUCUCUGCCUAUUCUGCCAGGAUAGCCUCUAUUGUGGAGGUUCCAUUGUGGAGGUUCCAUUGUGGUUAAAGCAUCAGCUUAUUGAUACAGUCACUUUGGGGUUUUAGGCUGUGGAAGAGAAGAAGGUUCUGCUUCUCUCCUCUUUUUUUGUGUGCUCCUCAGGAACAGCUUGAAGGUGCUGCAAGCGUUGACUAAGAUACAAAGAAAUUCAGGAGAAAUGUGAUCAUGUAAAAAUAUGCAAACUGGGCCACUGCACUGAACUGAACGGGCUGGAUUUAUCCCUCCUUCCGAUGUGCAUUUGUAGGUCAGGAUAAAUGCAACUUUCAGUGUCUGACAAAAUAUGCAUUUCUUUGAUAUUUUACUGUAUUUGUGUACUAUUAGGGGAGUCCCACAGGAAAGCUUUAAGCUCUAAUAAAUUCAAUGUACCAGAUUACUUAACUAAUCAAGAGUUGUUCUGUAGCUUUUUAUGAGCAACUUAUAUUUCCCCCGAGGCCUAGCCCACAGCUGAUUUUACUUUUCCCAGCUUAUGACCUUCUGUAGAGUCGUUUUUCGCUUUUAUUUUAUAAGAGAAAAACACAGGCCUCUUCCCCUGGGGUCACCAAGGCCUGGUGACCGAUGCAGAAUGUUAAGUCAACUGUAUUUCUCUCUCCAAGAACUGCAGUCUAGUGACUUCCUCAGGCCCACUGUAUGAGAAGGAGGGAUUACCAAACUGGAGCAACUCAGGAAGAGGAUUUAUACAGAGUUUAUGGCUAGCACAUAUACUAGCCAUGCACAAGACAGAAAUGUGUAUCUCAUAGGUCAACAGGUCAACCUUCUUUCCACAUUAUCUCAUGUUUCGCAGACUUUUCCGCUGAGAUGCCACAUUCUAUUGCUACAUGAUGCAUAUGAUGCCAUAGAUUUGGGAUACUUUAUGUUUAGGCAUGAGGUCAGUUGGGAACAACCAGUUCUUUUUCUCAGGAACAGCAGGGGAAAACAAAGAUUUGCAAGUGUAAGCCCCAGAAGUGAAAGGAAAGGAGUUGGUACAGAGCUGGGCACCUGAAGAGCCCAUUUAUUGGUGCCUGGACUUGGCAGACUGGUAACACCUGCACCACAGAAGAAAAGGUGAAGAGUCCAUAAUCUGAUAGCCAAGUUUGCUUAUGGACCCUGGUGUGAGGGUUGGUUUUUUUCUUCUGGUUGAUAGCUGCGAGGGAUUUACAAGUGGGGGAGUCCCGCUUGCUUAAAAAGGUGAAGGAAGAAAGAGCAAUUUUCUAAAGUUUUGCAGUAUUUAUUUGGAGACUUAAGUUAUUUCACAGUGGAAGCUCAUGGUGUCUGGAGCACCAUUUUGCUGCUGUCAGCUAGUAUUAAUAGACUCACUGAGGGCUCUGUACUGUGUGUUUAACAUAAGGUUCCUCCUCAGAAGCGUUUAAAACUUAGAUUCUAGAACUCUAAGACCCUGAACAUCUCACAUGUCAAAAAAACACUGAAAGUAUGGGGCACAAAGCACAUCACAUUCACCUUCUACACUUCACAAACAGAAAGCUUGCUCCCCACUAUUUUAAUGUUAAUGGAAGCAGGAUCAAAUCCGUAACUGAGAAGACUGACAGACUGCAGAGGUACAAAGCCUAGAGAAAGGCGAGAAGUAUAAAGAAAACAUUUGACAGCGACUGCACAUAGGAAAGUAUCACUUGAUUGCAGUCUCAUAUUAAGAUUACUCAUUUUAUGACAUGAACUGUUUUCUGUCACUGCAUUCUAACUUCCUGGGUAGUGUAAUGAGCUGAAAUGCUGCUGAUGUCAUUGGAUGUACUGCAGUCCAGCAUCAUGUAUCAUGUAUGCUCCAGUACAUCACAAAGAUCUUGUUUCAUUUGUCUCAGCCCUCUCUAUCGCUGGUUCAAUAAAACAGCACUUUGGCUUUAA